rnacentral:rRNA from 1 species
GAUGAACGCUGGCGGCGUGCCUAAUACAUGCAAGUCGAGCGAACGGACGAGAAGCUUGCUUCUCUGAUGUUAGCGGCGGACGGGUGAGUAACACGUGGAUAACCUACCUAUAAGACUGGGAUAACUUCGGGAAACCGGAGCUAAUACCGGAUGAUAUUUUGAACCGCAUGGUUCAAAAGUGAAAGACGGUCUUGCUGUCACUUAUAGAUGGAUCCGCGCUGCAUUAGCUAGUUGGUAAGGUAACGGCUUACCAAGGCAACGAUGCAUAGCCGACCUGAGAGGGUGAUCGGACACACUGGAACUGAGACACGAUCCAGACUCCUACGGGAGGCAGCGGUAGGGAAUCUUCCGCAAUGGGCGAAAGCCUGACGGAGCAACGCCGCGUGAGUGAUGAAGGUCUUCGGAUCGUAAAACUCUGUUAUUAGGGAAGAACAUAUGUGUAAGUAACUGUGCACAUCUUGACGGUACCUAAUCAGAAAGCCACGGCUAACUACGU